GGAGGGGGGGCAAGCGUUGCUCGGAAUUACUGGGCGUAAAGGGUCCGCAGGUGGGUUUUGCAAGUUAGAUGUGAAAGCUCAGGGCUCAACCCGGAAACUGCAUCUAAUACUACAAAACUAGAGUCUAGGAGAGGUUGGCGGAAUUCCCGGUGUAGCGGUGAAAUGCGUAGAUAUCGGGAGGAGCACCAGCGGCGAAGGCGGCUAACUGGCCUAGUACUGACACUCAUGGACGAAAGCGUGGGUAGCAAACCGGAUUAGAUACCCGGGUAGUCCACGCCCUAAACGAUGGAUGCUAGGUGUAGGGAUUUAAAUCUCUAUGCCGUAGCUAACGCAUUAAGCAUCCCGCCUGGGGAGUACGGUCGCAAAGGCUG
rnacentral:rRNA from 1 species